rnacentral:rRNA from 1 species
UUCCGUAGGGUGAACCUGCGGAAGGAUCAUUACCGAGUGUAGGGUUCCUAGCGAGCCCAACCUCCCACCCGUGUUUACUGUACCUUAGUUGCUUCGGCGGGCCCGCCAUUCAUGGCCGCCGGGGGCUCUCAGCCCCGGGCCCGCGCCCGCCGGAGACACCACGAACUCUGUCUGAUCUAGUGAAGUCUGAGUUGAUUGUAUCGCAAUCAGUUAAAACUUUCAACAAUGGAUCUCUUGGUUCCGGCAUCGAUGAAGAACGCAGCGAAAUGCGAUAACUAGUGUGAAUUGCAGAAUUCCGUGAAUCAUCGAGUCUUUGAACGCACAUUGCGCCCCCUGGUAUUCCGGGGGGCAUGCCUGUCCGAGCGUCAUUGCUGCCCAUCAAGCACGGCUUGUGUGUUGGGUCGUCGUCCCCUCUCCGGGGGGGACGGGCCCCAAAGGCAGCGGCGGCACCGCGUCCGAUCCUCGAGCGUAUGGGGCUUUGUCACCCGCUCUGUAGGCCCGGCCGGCGCUUGCCGAACGCAAAUCAAUCUUUUCCAGGUUGACCUCGGAUCAGGUAGGGAUACCCGCUGAACUUAA